GAAAUGCGAUAAGCAAUGCGAAUUGCAGAAUUCCGCGAGUCAUCAGAUCUUUGAACGCAGCCCGCGCUGGGGAGCUCUCUCCUCAGCAUGUUUGUUUCAGUGUGUUUGGUUGACUUCAAACAGCUCAAUGCGAUUGAACUUUCCCCCUCUUCAAAAAGGUGUCUGGAAGGGUCUCUCGUGAAAAGCGAAGGCGUGGGACUAAAAACUCCGCCAACGAUGUGGUCACUGUCUAACAGUGGUUUCGUUGGGUAAUAUCGGGAUUAGUCAUUUUAUGUACGUCUUAAAAAAAACAACUCUCUUCAAUCUGCACCUGAAAUCAAGCAAGAACACCCGCUGAACUUAA
rnacentral:misc_RNA from 1 species